GUCAUAUGCUUGUUUCAAAGAUUAAGCCAUGCAUGUCUCAGUGCAAGCCGAAUUAAGGUGAAACCGCGAAAGGCUCAUUAAAUCAGCUAUGAUUCAAUUGAUGGUACGAUCACGGUUACUUGGAUAACUGUGGCAAUUCUAGAGCUAAUACAUGCUAAACGAGUUCCGACCGCGGGUUCGAUCGAUCUCGCGGAACGAAUGCUUUUAUUAGAACAAAACCAAUCGGAUCUCAAUCGAGAUCCGCAAAUCUAUGACGAAUCUGAAUAACUUUGAGCUGAUCGCACGGUCUCUGGAACCGGCGACGCAUCUUUCAAAUGUCUGACUUAUCAACUUUCGAUGGUAGGCUACGCGCCUACCAUGGUGAUAACGGGUGACGGGGAAUCAGGGUUCGAUCCCGGAGAGGGAGCCUGAGAAACGGCUACCACAUCCAAGGAAGGCAGCAGGCGCGCAAAUUACCCACUCCCGGCACGGGGAGGUAGUGACGAAAAAUAACGAUGCAGGACUCUUUUCGAGGCUCUGCAAUCGGAAUGAGAACACUCUAAAUCAUUUAACGAGUAUCCAUUGGAGGGCAAGUCUGGUGCCAGCAGCCGCGGUAAUUCCAGCUCCAAUAGCGUAUAUUAAAGUUGCUGCGGAUAAAAAGCUCGUAGUUUGAUUUGUGUUCCGAGCAGUCGGUACGCCGUUCGUCGGCGGUCAACUGACUCGCGGCGGAACGUCCUGCCGGUUGACGGAGCGGGAGGCGGCGGAGCGGCGCGAGUCGUCGCCGCCGCCUUGAGUGGUCGGAGGGAAGAGCACCGCGCGAUCUUCGGAUCGCGGCGCGCGCUUCGCGUCCGACGACGUUUCUGCGUCCGUCAGUCAUUGAGAAAAUCCCGUCGCGGCGCUCUUAACCGAGUGACGCGCCGGGCCGGCACGUUUACUUUGAACAAAACUGAGUGCUUAAAGCAGGCCGAACCCAAGCGCCUGAAAGUCGGAUGCAUGGAAUAAUGGAAUAGGGCCUCGGUUCUAUUUUGUUGGUUUUCGGAAUUUCCGAGGCAAUGAUUAAUGGGGACAGGCGGGGGCAUUAGUAUUGCGGCGUUAGAGGUGAAAUUCUUGGAUCGUCGCAAGACUAACCUAAGCGAAAGCAUUUGCCAAGGAUGUUUUCCUUAAUCAAGAACGAAAGUUGGAGGUUCGAAGGCGAUCAGAUACCGCCCUAGUUCUUACCGUAAACUAUGCCGGCUAGCGAUCCGUCGAUGUUCGUUCAGAUGAUUCGGCGGGCAGCUUGAGGGAAACCAAAGCCUUCGGGUUCCGGGGGAAGUAUGGUUGCAAAGCUGAAACUUAAAGGAAUUGACGGAAGGGCACCACCAGGAGUGGAGCUUGCGGCUUAAUUUGACUCAACACGGGAAACCUCACCAGGCCCGGGCACCGGAAGGAUUGACAGAUCAAGAGCUCUUUCUUGAUUCGGUGGGUGGUGGUGCAUGGCCGUUCUUAGUUGGUGGAGCGAUUUGUCUGGUUAAU
rnacentral:rRNA from 1 species